GCGUCGGUGGUAUAGUGGUUAGCAUAGCUGCCUUCCCGGCAGUUGACCCGGGUUUGAUUCCCGGCCGACGCA
rnacentral:tRNA from 1 species